rnacentral:rRNA from 1 species
AUGUUCAGAAUGAGGAGGUCAGUGUUUUACCCAUUGCAUGAUCUGUUGGUUGAGAACUAUGGCCUUCAGUCAACUUGCAACAUAUCAUCCAAAGAAGCGUUGGCGCUUUUUCUAUGGACUUUGGGGACAACGCAGACCACUGACAAUGUGGCGGAUCGGUUUGCACAUAGUCGUUCGGUCACCAACAAAAAAUUCCAUGAGGUUUUGGAGUGUGUUGACCGCAUGGCCGGUGACUACAUUAGGCCAAUGGAUCCAUCUUUCUCUGAACCUCAUCCAAUACUUAGAAAAACAAGGUUCUAG